GACGAACGCUGGCGGCGUGCUUAACACAUGCAAGUCGAACGGAAAGGCCCUGCUUUUGUGGGGUGCUCGAGUGGCGAACGGGUGAGUAACACGUGAGUAACCUGCCCUUGACUUUGGGAUAACUUCAGGAAACUGGGGCUAAUACCGGAUAGGAGCUCCUGCUGCAUGGUGGGGGUUGGAAAGUUUCGGCGGUUGGGGAUGGACUCGCGGCUUAUCAGCUUGUUGGUGGGGUAGUGGCUUACCAAGGCUUUGACGGGUAGCCGGCCUGAGAGGGUGACCGGCAACAUUGGGACUGAGAUCCGGCCCAGGCCCCGAGGGGGGGGAGGGGGGGGGAAUAUGGCAAAAUGGGGGGAAGCCGGAGGCAGCAACCCCGGGUGGGGGAAGAGGGCUUUCGGGUUGGAAACCGCUUUCGCCUGUGACGAAGGGUGGGGGAGGGGAAUGGGUAAAGAAGCACCGGAAAACUGCGG
rnacentral:rRNA from 1 species